rnacentral:rRNA from 1 species
GACGAACGCUGGCGGCGUGCCUAAUACAUGCAAGUAGAACGCUGAAGGAGGAGCUUGCUUCUCUGGAUGAGUUGCGAACGGGUGAGUAACGCGUAGGUAACCUGCCUGGUAGCGGGGGAUAACUAUUGGAAACGAUAGCUAAUACCGCAUAAUAUUGACUAUUGCAUGAUAGUCAGUUGAAAGGUGCAACUGCACCACCACCAGAUGGACCUGCGUUGUAUUAGCUAGUUGGUGGGGUAACGGCUCACCAAGGCGACGAUACAUAGCCGACCUGAGAGGGUGAUCGGCCACACUGGGACUGAGACACGGCCCAGACUCCUACGGGAGGCAGCAGUAGGGAAUCUUCGGCAAUGGACGGAAGUCUGACCGAGCAACGCCGCGUGAGUGAAGAAGGUUUUCGGAUCGUAAAGCUCUGUUGUAAGAGAAGAACGAGUGUGAGAGUGGAAAGCUCACACUGUGACGGUAUCUUACCAGAAAGGGACGGCGAACUACGU